rnacentral:lncRNA from 1 species
UGACAAUCUCCACGCCACCUCCAUCAUGGUAAACGUGGCUUCCUACUACCUAGCCCUCCUCCUGAUUCACUUCUUUAAGGGAGCUCAAGAUCUCUACACGGAGGUGGUGACUGAGGCAGGCAAGAGAGGUCUCCAGCUCCUCAAGCAAGACGAGUCUCAGAUGGCAGAGGACAGCUCUGCCAUCCUUAACUUGGGAGUCUUCACCUCUGCCCUCCAUCCCAGCAGAGUGCCUUUGAGCCAGCGUUUUCCUGGGCCCAACAUUUCCAUCCUUCAAAAAUUUAUCUCCAACUUCAAAAUCCUCUUAGUGCACAUCAACAUCAAAGAAGGAAUCAGAUACUGUUUCCUUGGGACCUCCAAAAGCCGGGGUACCAGAAUCCAACACAAGGAGAAAGAAAAGAAGAGUUUGCUGUUCCCUUCGAGAGAAGACAUAAUUCAUCAAAUUAAGAGCACCUUGGUCACCUUCUUCCUAUUCUAUAUCUAUAACACAUUUCUCUUUGUUCAGGUCAUAAAAUAAAUGGACCGUGUGUGAAUCAGAAAGAAAAAAGGUAGAAGUAUACUUGUAUUUUGUCAGUGCCUUUUCUAAUGUCCUAGGCAGCCACCUUUCCUUCUUUCUGCUCCCCUGCAUUCAGUUCUUCUGUCUUCCUUUCUUUUACAGGAUUUAAUAGUGAUUUUAAAAUACACUAGUGCAUGGUAUCAUAUUUAUAUUUGCCUACAUUUAAAAUGCUAGAUUUUUUCUUGUGUCAGUCAAGGUAAAUAAUGGAUAUAGAGAUAUUGGCAGUCAGCCUUGGAGAAAUUGAAUAUAUUCUUUGCCUCUUCUUGAUUGUUUAAUUUGGCUUCAUUGUUUAUUUCUAUCUUAGAACUCUGUGAUUAUGGAGGGAUGUUGAAUGAAGUUUCUGUGGACAGAUGAUUGGAUUCAUUUAGCUAGUGAUAUAAAAAAAGCAGAAUUCAAAGGGCACAAGUUUGGGGGACAAGGAAUAGGAAAAUAAAUAUUGCCAAUGUUUUUUUUUUCUAGUUGGA